rnacentral:rRNA from 1 species
GAUGACGGUAGCAGAGGAGGAAGCUCCGGCUAACUACGUGCCAGCAGCCGCGGUAAUACGUAGGGAGCGAGCGUUGUCCGGAUUUACUGGGUGUAAAGGGUGCGUAGGCGGCUAUGCAAGUCAGUAGUGAAAUCCAUGGGCUUAACCCAUGAACUGCUAUUGAAACUGCACAGCUUGAGUGAAGUAGAGGUAGGCGGAAUUCCCGGUGUAGCGGUGAAAAUGCGUAGAGAUCGGGAGGAACACCAGUGGCGAAGGCGGCCUACUGGGCUUUAACUGACGCUGAGGCACGAAAGCGUGGGUAGCAAACAGGAUUAGAUACCCUGGUAGUCCACGCUGUAAACGAUGAUUACUAGGUGUGGGGGGACUGAACCCUUCCGUGCCGGAGUUAACACAAUAAGUAAUCCACCUGGGGAGUACGGCCGCAAGGCUG